rnacentral:rRNA from 1 species
GAUGAACGCUGGCGGCGUGCUUAACACAUGCAAGUCGAACGAAGCACUUUGAAAGCUUGCUUUUAAAGUGACUGAGUGGCGGACGGGUGAGUAACGCGUGGGUAACCUGCCUCACUCAGGGGGAUAACAGUUAGAAAUGACUGCUAAUACCGCAUAAGCCCCCGGUACCGCAUGGUACAGAGGGAAAAGAUUUAUCGGUGUGAGAUGGACCCGCGUCUGAUUAGCUAGUUGGUGGGGUAACGGCCUACCAAGGCGACGAUCAGUAGCCGACCUGAGAGGGUGACCGGCCACAUUGGGACUGAGACACGGCCCAAACUCCUACGGGAGGCAGCAGUGGGGAAUAUUGCACAAUGGGCGCAAGCCUGAUGCAGCGACGCCGCGUGAGUGGAGAAGUAUUUCGGUAUGUAAAGCUCUAUCAGCAGGGAAGAUAAUGACAGUACCUGACUAAGAAGCUCCGGCUAAAUACGUGCCAGCAGCCGCGGUAACAC